GAUUCGUCCUCAGGUAGUGAGUUAUCUCGAUUAUUUAGUCAGUUACAGAUUGAACUUCUUUUUUCUACUCUUUCCUGCUUUUCAUUGCUGCACUUGACUAGUUUUUA
rnacentral:Y_RNA from 1 species